UGGUCGUAUUAAUUUGUUGGCGGGUUGCUUCCUUUCAUGGUCAACUGGUCAAAUGACAAUUUAUAUGCAUUGCUCGUGGUCUAUAAAAAGCCAUGGGUUCUGACCUCUUGGAUCAUUAGAAAAACUGCAAUCCUUCUCUCUUUUAUUUCAUCACCUUUUGCCUUCUCUUUCUCUGCUGGUUUAUCACUUUUUCCUUCUACCUUUUUUCUUCUACUAAGUAUUGAAAGAAGAUUUGUCAACCCUCAGC
rnacentral:lncRNA from 1 species